CCUACGGGGGGCAGCAGUGGGGGAUAUUGCACAAUGGGGGAAACCCUGAUGCAGCGACGCCGCGUGGGUGAAGAAGUAUUUCGGUAUGUAACGCCCUAUCAGCAGGGAAGAAAGAAGACGGUACCUGACUAAGAAGCCCCGGCUAACUACGUGCCAGCAGCCGCGGUAAUACGUAGGGGGCGAGCGUUAUCCGGAUUCACUGGGUGUAAAGGGAGCGUAGACGGCCGUGCAAGCCAGGAGUGAAAGCCCGGGGCCCAACCCCGGGACUGCUCUUGGAACUGUGCGGCUGGAGUGCGGGAGGGGCAGGCGGAAUUCCUGGUGUAGCGGUGAAAUGCGUAGAUAUCAGGAGGAACACCGGCGGCGAAGGCGGCCUGCUGGACCGCGACUGACGUUGAGGCUCGAAAGCGUGGGGAGCGAACAGGAUUAGAUACCCGAGUAGUC
rnacentral:rRNA from 1 species